GACGAACGCUGGCGGCGUGCUUAACACAUGCAAGUCGAACGGAAAGGCCCUGCUUUUGUGGGGUGCUCGAGUGGCGAACGGGUGAGUAACACGUGAGUAACCUGCCCUUGACUUUGGGAUAACUUCAGGAAACUGGGGCUAAUACCGGAUAGGAGCUCCUGCUGCAUGGUGGGGGUUGGAAAGUUUCGGCGGUUGGGGAUGGACUCGCGGCUUAUCAGCUUGUUGGUGGGGUAGUGGCUUACCAAGGCUUUGACGGGUAGCCGGCCUGAGAGGGUGACCGGCCACAUUGGGACUGAGAUACGGCCCAGACUCCUACGGGAGGCAGCAGUGGGGAAUAUUGCACAAUGGGCGGAAGCCUGAUGCAGCAACGCCGCGUGCGGGAUGACGGCCUUCUGGUUGUAAACCGCCUUCGCCUGUGACGAAGCGUGAGUGACGGUAAUGGGUAAAGAAGCACCGGCUAACUACGUG
rnacentral:rRNA from 1 species